AUAUAUAAGGGUUAAAGCCCCUUCAACUCCU
rnacentral:tRNA from 1 species